CUUGAGUGUUUCAAAACUUUCCUGUAACAGAUAUUAGUUUACUAUUGCAUCUUGUUUCCUUUAAUUUUCUGAAGGUGUUGUUGCUUGUUGAUGUAAAAUUCAGAGUUUCCCUAAAGAAUAACUUAUUAAUCCUUUCAACUUAUUUUUCUGCUGUAGGUUUCAUUUAAUUUGCUUGAGAAGUACUUGGAAGCACACUCAAAGGCCUCCAUGUGGGAAAAUGAGCUCCUGGAUGUAGGCUACCAGCCUUUGUGCAUCCAAAUUCCCUACACAGUAAGGCUCUUAAUUUUGAACUAAGAACUCCAGCCUCACGUUUUGUUUCCUUAGUUGCUGGAAGCAUUUCAACCAGGAAAAAGGGGAGCUGUCGUGGGAUUAGUGGAAGAGAAGCAUUUCAUUCUCCUUUCUUAGAUGGAUGGUAACGUUGCAGAAGAAAAAGCUGAUUUAUUUGAGUUGAAAGAACUUGCACAAGGUGUCAAAUUAUUUUCUUUCUUUGAUGAAAGAGGAGAGCACGGUCAUUGAAAGUAAGUGGGGUCACGGCUUGAGUUGGUGUAGCUGCCAUGUGGAGAAGAAUUCAUCCACUUUAGAAAGCAAAAGUGGAAGGGUGGUUGGUGAUUUACGUGAAGAAAAGAGAAGUCGCUUACAUGAUGCAUAUUUCUUUUAUUUCUGAGUUGGUGCAGCAUGGAGAGAAGAGAAGCACACUUUCAUUUGUUUAGAAUACUUUCAAAUUUUUUAUUCCAGCUUAGGAGUAGUUUUAGUUUAUUUUAUUUGCUGCCAAUUAUUUUCGAAACCUAUGUCUUAUUUUUGAUAAAUGAUGAAAUUUUUCAGUGAA